UACGAAGGGGGCUAGCGUUGCUCGGAUUGACUGGGCGUAAAGGGCGCGUAGGCGGUUCGUACAGUCAGACGUGAAAUUCCUGGGCUCAACCUGGGGGCUGCGUUUGAUACGUGCGGACUUGAGUGCGGAAGAGGGUCGUGGAAUUCCCAGUGUAGAGGUGAAAUUCGUAGAUAUUGGGAAGAACACCGGUGGCGAAGGCGGCGACCUGGUCCGAUACUGACGCUGAGGCACGAAAGCGUGGGUAGCAAACAGG
rnacentral:rRNA from 1 species